rnacentral:rRNA from 1 species
UACGGGGGGGGCAAGCGUUGUUCGGAAUUACUGGGCGUAAAGGGCGUGUAGGCGGCCAACUAAGUCCGACGUGAAAUCCCCAGGCUUAACCUGGGAACUGCGUCGGAUACUGGAUGGCUUGAAUCCGGGAGAGGGAUGCGGAAUUCCAGGUGUAGCGGUGAAAUGCGUAGAUAUCUGGAGGAAUACCGGUGGCGAAGGCGGCAUCCUGGACCGACAUUGACGCUGAGGAGCGAAAGCUAGGGGAGCAAACGGG